CUAUUGCCUUUGGAUAUUUCACUCUCAACUCUCAAAUCAAACUCAGGACAGCACCUUCUCUUGGAAAGCUUUUCAUUUGCAAGGUUCCUUUACGUGUCAUUUCCAAGAAGUAUCUUGCUGAGCUGAGG